ACUGUCGCUUAAACACUUUGGACCACCUCUUCUGAACUGAAGGAAAAAAUGAUGUUAGUUCUCUGCGCGAAUACAAAGAAACACCUGGAAGCCUUGGCAAGGGGAUGAGAUUUGGCAGAGAUCUUUCCGUGUACCGAUGCAUCCUCAGGAAAAUGAUGUGCCGCUCAUUGUUCCUGUUGUCAAGGUUAUCGCAGUCGACUUCAGGCUGGAACGGGCAUUGCUCUUGCACUGAAGAAAGUCUGUCCUGACUCCCUCAGAGUGCCUCAACAUCAACCAAGAGCCACCGUGAACCUCUGGGGCACUGAGCCUGGCCACCAGCACCCCCACCCCAGCCCAUAUGGCCUGGGCCUCUCCCUUGAUGUUUAAAGGAGAUGAUAAAAAUGCUGCAACCCAGAUAAUGAUCACCUUACUCUUCAAAAAUACUGCCCAAGUUCUUUGUUCAAGAUGCCAAGAACCUGGAUACCCUCCACUGGUAACAAAUAUGACUUUGUUUUUAGCAAGCAACUUUGCAGUGUAAUUAAGUUAAGGAUCUUGAGAUGAGAUCAUCUUGGAAUAUCUGGGUGGGCCCUAAAUCCAAUGACAAGUGUCCUCAUAGGAAGGGAAGAUACACACAGAGGAGAAGGUGGUGUGAAGAUGGAAGCCAAGACUGUUGAUACCAGUUGGAGAGC
rnacentral:lncRNA from 1 species